CUGCAACAUUGGAGAUUACAUUUCCACGUGAUAUUUGGGUAAGGACACAGAUCCAAACCGUAUCAGGUGUUUGUAUUUCCUUUCAGAGUGAAGAUAUCCUCAAAUGUCUAGUGAUCCUUAACUGUCUGUUCACCUUUAAGACUACAGCACUAAAAAUCUGAUUGGAAGUUCUGAUAUAUGAGUUGGGUUGCCAACUCUGGGUCUUACCCCAGUCCUACAUUCACUGCCACUUCCAGAAAUAUCUGGUAUCACCAAUUCAUGAGCCCACUGGAGGUUUUGAGGUGCAAGUCUGGAUGAUGUAUUGGCUUUUCCUGCCAGAAUAGAAACUCCACAAAAACAGUGAUCUUGGUUUUGUUCAUUGAUGAAAUCCAAGGACUUAGAAGAGUGCCUGGCACAUGGUAGGUACUCCAUAAAUGUUUGCGGAAUGUUGAAUGAAUGGCUUAUUUGAGAACCAAAUGAAAUCUACAGCUUAAGGGAUUCCAUCCGUAAGGGGUCU
rnacentral:lncRNA from 1 species